rnacentral:rRNA from 1 species
UCCGUAGGUGAACCUGCGGAAGGAUCAUUAUCGUGCAACAGAGGCGCGAGGGCUGUCGCUGACUUGAAAAGGUCGUGCACGCCCGAGCGCUCUCACGAUAUCCAUCUCACCCCUUUGUGAACCACCGCGUGGGUCGUCCUCCGGGCGGCUUGCGUUUUUACAAAAACCCCAGUAUUAGAAUGUUUUACCGUUUGCGGUGACACGCAAUCAAUACAACUUUCAACAACGGAUCUCUUGGCUCUCGCAUCGAUGAAGAACGCAGCGAAAUGCGAUACGUAAUGUGAAUUGCAGAAUUCAGUGAAUCAUCGAAUCUUUGAACGCACCUUGCGCCCCUUGGUAUUCCGAGGGGCACACCCGUUUGAGUGUCGUGACUUGCUCAACCUUCUCGGUCUUUGCGAUCGGGAAAGGCUUGGACUUUGGGGGUUUUUGCUGGCCUCUCUCGAAGCCGGCUCCCCUUAAAUGGAUUAGUGGGGUUCGCUUUGCCGAUCCUCGACGUUGAUAAGAUGUUUCUACGUCUUGGGCUAGGCACCGUCUUUCGGGAACCUGCUUCUAACCGUCUCGAGAGAGACAAUGCGUUUUGGACCUUGACCUCAAAUCGGGUGAGACUACCCGCUGAACUUAAGCAUAUCAAUAAGCGGAGGAAAUC